rnacentral:rRNA from 1 species
AUGUUGGGUUAAGUCCCGCAACGAGCGCAACCCUUGNUNUUAGUUNCCAUCAUUAAGUUGGGCACUCUAAGGUGACUGCCGGUGACAAACCGGAGGAAGGUGGGGAUGACGUCAAAUCAUCAUGCCCCUUAUGACUUGGGCUACACACGUGNUACAAUGGACGGUACANAGAGCUGCCAAGNCCGNCGAGGUGGAGCUAAUCUCAUAAAACCGUUCUCAGUUCGGAUUGUAGNCUGCAACUCGCCUACAUGAAG